AGAGACCUCUCUCAGCGCUGCUCCCUCAGCCUCCAGCGUCCGCUCUGCUCCUCCGCCCCCCAGCCUGUUCUCCAAGCAGCAGCCAGAGGGAUCUUUCUAAAACAGAACGCCUAUAUCACUCUCCUGUUUAAACCCUCUGUGGCUCCUGCCAGCAAACGAGACAAAGAUCUGGAACCAACACCUGAGGCUACCCUAGCUGUGGGGAGUCUGGAAAGCAAGGAUGGACUGGGCAGGCUGCAGGCCAAUCAUGGACAUCAAGACUCACCCCCUUAGCCUCUUCUCAUUUCAGCUUCCUUUACCGCCUAUCUGAAAUCUUAAAUCAUCUUACAGUAAAUUUAAUUAAAGUUUUUUACUCCAACAAAUAAAAAAAUUACUGUACACCCAACCCUGCCCAGCCUGGCAGCAUCAGACAGGGCUCCAGUAUGGACUAACAGACUUUGCUCCCCUGUUGCCAUAAAUAGAACAAGAAUUUGGGGUGGGGUCCCCAGGUUGUUCUGAAAACACACAGCUUUGCAGAAGCUGUCUCUUGGGAGCCCAGGCAAAUGCUGCAGGUGGGGUGGAGGGGGAGAAGCCAGGAGGGUGACUCUCAAGGCUGGCUUAUCUCCCCCAGGCAGCUGCAAACUCCCACUCCUGGCUCCUGCAUCAUGUCUACCAGCCUGUCGCUUGGUGUAUGCGGCUGUGUGUCUUUGUGUGUGUACCCUGGAUGGGCACGAGGGCACAGGUGUGUUUGGACAGAGACGUGUCUGUUUCUGUGGUUUGGGGCAUAGCCCUGGUCUUCUCUUCCUCCCUUCCUCUACUGGUGGCAAUGGCAGCCCUCUGUACUUACUCCACUGAUCCGCCAUCCUUCUUUGAGGGGUGAUACUGCCUGUGCUGAUAUCCAUGGACUCAGAUUACCGUUCCUGUCUUCAAAAAACUCCCACUGACCCAUCUAGCCCUUCUCCCCUGUCUUCCAGGGCAAGCUGUGUUGCACUGCUUAGCUGAUUAAGUGGAGACAUAACUCCCCUUCUCUGAAACUGGUCUGUGUGAACUCAGUGCUGUCUCAUAGCCCCUGGUACAGUGCGUUGCUCUCAGCUUGUCUGUAAGGGUUUGUUAACUGUGUGGUUGAUGGGCCUGGACAGGGAAGUGGUGAUGCACUCUUUUGUCAUUUGACUUCUGCCCCUUGCUGAAAACAAGCUCAUGGAAUUAGCUCUGGGGCUGCAUGCCACCUCUGCCCCAGGUCACCUCUGGUAGCAUCAUUCUAAAAAAUACAGACACACAACUACUUUGGAAAACAGUUUGGAAUUACUGGUGGAGUUGAUCAUGUGUAUACUCAACAGCACAGAAAUUCUAUUCCUAGGAAUAUACCUAGAGAAACUCUUGCACUCAGAAACCUGAAGACACAUACAGAAUGUUUUAGAGUUGCCCCAAACUGGAAACAACCUCAAUGUCCCUCAAAACUAGAAUGGAUAAUCAAAUUGUGGUAUUUUUGCACAACAAAAUACUAUACAAAGAAAAAAAGAUUGACCAAAUCACAGCUCUACUCAUUAAUAUGAAUGACUCUUUAAAAACUCUACAAUGAUAAGCCAAAGAGGCCAGACACGGAAGAACAUAUGUAGUAUGAAUUCAAUUGUAGAAAGUUUUAAAAAUAGGCAAUCUAAACAAUAUUGUUUAGGGAUACACACAGAGGUAGGAAACCACAAAGAAAAGUAAGGAAAAGACUGUCACUAAAUUCAGGAUGGUGGAUCCUCUGGGAAGAAUGGGUCAGGGAGGGCCACAUGGACUUCUAAGGUACCUAGAAUGCUCUCUUGAUUGACUUGGAUGCUAGGCACACAGAAGUUUGUUUUAUUAUUGCUCCUUAUGCUGCAUAUAUGUAUGUAACUUACUCUUUUUUAUAUACCGUACAUUUUAUGCAAGAAAAAAAGAGUGGUGUGUGCUCUGACUCUGCCCCCUUCCCCAUCCAAUCCCCAUUCUUGUCCUCAGCUGGCAUAUGAGGGACCAGGGCCUCUCGCAGUUCCUUUCUGUUUCUGAGUAGGUUGGAGGAAUAUGGGGGGUGAGGGCCUCCCUUCCGCAGCUGGGCCCUGGCUACUCCAGGCUGAGAAGUCCUGGGGAAAGCACGGCCAGGCAGGGCCGGCUGGCUCUGCUGUUUCUGCCAACUCUGGGGAUUAGGCCAGGGCUCUGGCCCACCUGUUGUUUCACUCAUUCAACAUGAACACAGCCACCAAGCAUUUACUGUGAGCACUGGGUGCUGUUGGGAGGGUUCAGAUAAGUGAGAAAUGGUCUUUGACCUCAAAGAUCCUACAGUAUAUUCAGGCUAUCACACAUACAAAUACGGUACCAGCAAAAUGCGAGCUAAAUUUUCAGACUACCCAUCUACUCUUUCAAUAAACAUUUGUUGAGUACCUGUUAUG